rnacentral:lncRNA from 1 species
GCCUCAUGAGGCUCUACAAAGCUGUGGCUCUGCCCUGGAGUCUGAAAGAAAUAUACUCAGACUGAUAUUAUCAGUUUGGGUUAAAUAAGAAAUGUUUCAGUCUAUUUGUGGGAGUCUACAUGAACAGUCUUGACCUGUCCCAACUUUUGAUGACAAGCCACUCCUUCCAGAUGAGCCCACCCCUCUUACAUGCAAUCCCAUGAUGCGUUUUUUCCCUGAGAUACAGCAAUGAGGAACAGAAGGCACAGGGAACUUCAAUAUGCUUCUAAAAUCUGAAAGUCCAUCUCCUGGUGACACACUUCCUG